GGAAGGACAGCUGUGGCAGCCAAUGGCUUUGGAGAGAGGGAGGAGCUUCCUACCAUUAACUCCAGUUUGUGCAGCUUGCACAAACCGGACACCACAUACCUACAGACCAUUGGUUUGUAUGGAGAAUCUCCACACCAACACUGAUGGCCACCGGGAAUGUUCUUCACUGGACUGGAAACUCUGCACAGAAUCAGAGCAAUCUAUGAGAUGAGCAACUUUCAAAUGUUACAGCUCUCUCCUGGAACAUGAGUAAUGCCAUAGAUUUCAAUGGACCAUAUGUAUGCUUGAAGAUCUAUGUAUUUAUGCUCUAUGUUUAGAAUAUAUAUUGUUACAUGCACUCCCCCACUUUCCAAUGAGAAAAAGUCAGGAAGGAAAAAGGUUAGGGAGAGGAGAGCUGGUCUUCUGGAAGCAAGCAUGACUUGUCCCCUUAGCUAAGCAGUGUCUGCCCUGGUUGCAUAUGAAUGGGAGACUAGAAGUGUGAGCACUGUAAGAUAUUCCCCCCAGGAGCCACUCUGGGAAGAGCAGCAGGUUUCAAAGUUCUCUUCCUGGCUUCUCCGAGAUAGGGCUGAGAGAGAUUUCUGCCUGAAACCUUAAGAAAGCCGCUGCCAGUCUGUGAAGACAAUACUGAGCUAGAUAGAUCAAUGGUCUGACUCAGUAUAUGGCAGCUUCUUAUGUUCCUGUGUUUUUAUGUUCCCAUGCACCAUGGUCCUGCUCUGGAUUGGGCCCUCCACAAUUCUUUUGUUGAAAAAAGAAACUACACCUCUUAAUAACACAUUUUACAUACUGUGUGUUGUUUGCCCCUAAGAGGAUAGGGAAUUAAUGCAGGGAAGACAGAACAUAAAUACAUGAAACCUAGAAUAUCAUUGUAUUAGGUAUUAAUUAGAGAGCCAGCGUGGUGUGGUGGUUAGAGUGCUGGACUAGGACCGGGGAGACCUGAGUUCAAAUCCCCAUUCAGCCAUGAAACUAGCUGGGUGACUCUGGGCCAGUCACUUCUCUCUCAGCCUAACCUACUUCACAGGGUUGUUGUGAAAGAGAAACUCAAGUAUGUAGUAUACCGCUCUGGGCUCCUUGGAAGAAGAGCAGGAUAUAAAUGUAAUAAAUAAAUAAAUACAUAAAAAUAAUAAAAAAAAAUUU